rnacentral:rRNA from 1 species
ACUCCUACGGGAGGCAGCAGUGGGGAAUCUUGGACAAUGGGCGCAAGCCUGAUCCAGCCAUGCCGCGUGAGUGAUGAAGGCCCUAGGGUCGUAAAGCUCUUUCGCCAGAGAUGAUAAUGACAGUAUCUGGUAAAGAAACCCCGGCUAACUCCGUGCCAGCAGCCGCGGUAAUACGGAGGGGUUAGCGUUGUUCGGAAUUACUGGGCGUAAAGCGUACGCAGGCGGAUUAGUUAGUCAGAGGUGAAAUCCCAGGGCUCAACCCUGGAACUGCCUUUGAUACUGCUAGUCUUGAGUUCGAGAGAGGUGAGUGGAAUUCCGAGUGUAGAGGUGAAAUUCGUAGAUAUUCGGAGGAACACCAGUGGCGAAGGCGGCUCACUGGCUCGAUACUGACGCUGAGGUACGAAAGUGUGGGAGCAAACAGGAUUAGAUACCCGU